UACGUAGGGGGCUAGCGUUGUCCGGAAUCAUUGGGCGUAAAGAGCGUGUAGGCGGUCCGGUAAGUCCGCUGUGAAAGUCGGGGGCUCAACCCUCGAAUGCCGGUGGAUACUGUCGGGCUAGAGUGCGGAAGAGGCGAGUGGAAUUCCUGGUGUAGCGGUGAAAUGCGCAGAUAUCAGGAGGAACACCUAUUGCGAAGGCAGCUCGCUGGGACGUUCCUGACGCUGAGGCGCGAAGGUCAGGGGAGCAAAGCGGG
rnacentral:rRNA from 1 species